rnacentral:lncRNA from 1 species
UGGAAGUUCGGAGGGCAUUGUUGAAGUCCGACUAACAUUAUUGAAGGUUGAUGGCUGGGGAGGUUUGGCAGACACCAGAGACGGUCGACCGUUGUGAAAAUUCAGCUGCUGGAGUCCGUCUGUUGUAGAAGUUCAUCCGGGAUCCAUUCGCUAUAGAAGUUCAGAUAGAGUCCGGUUCUUGCAGAAGGUCGAAGGGAGGCCACUUAUUGUAGAAGCUCGAUCGAAGAUCGGUUGUUGUGGAAGCUCG